AACGUAGGAGGCAAGCGUUAUCCGGAUUCACUGGGCGUAAAGCGCGUGCAGGCGGUGCGGUAAGUUAGGCGUGAAAUCUCCCGGCUCAACUGGGAGAGGUCGUCUAAUACUACCGUACUUGAGAGCAGAAGAGGAAGAUGGAAUUCCCGGUGUAGUGGUGAAAUGCGUAGAUAUCGGGAGGAACACCAGUGGCGAAGGCGAUCUUCUGGUCUGUUUCUGACGCUCAGACGCGACAGCUAGGGUAGUAAACGGG
rnacentral:rRNA from 1 species